rnacentral:misc_RNA from 1 species
AUUGCUUUUAUGGUGGGCAAAAUGAAAGCAAUUUUUGAUUUUAUGAUUCUGAUUUAUGGAAGAAGGGAAACUGCGUUUACGAGAUUGAAUUAGAGCUUACUAGAGAGAGAAAAAGAAGAGACAUUGCUGGUUGCUUGAAGCUGUGAACAGUACCCAUAAUGUAGCAGCAGAAGCAGAUUAAAAGAAGAAAAAUAAAAGAAGAGACAAAAUAGGCACUAAGCCUUUCGAAUCAAAUACUUAUAAUUAUGUUUUUCAAAACCCUAUGAAAAUAACUAAAUUACAUUGGGAUUUAUAGAGAUUUAGUAAUUAGUCCCCUUACUAGGACUAGGAAUCUCAAACUUGGAAGUUUCCAAUCCUGCUACUUCUGGGACUUGAAUCCCAAACAAGGAAGAUUUUAAACCAAUUCUAAAUAUGAU